rnacentral:rRNA from 1 species
GCAAAACUCAAAAAAUAGAUCUCAGUUCGGACUGUAGGCUGCAACUCGCCUACACGAAGUUGGAAUUGCUAGUAAUCGUGGAUCAGCAUGCCACGGUGAAUACGUUCCCGGGUCUUGUACACACCGCCCGUCACACCAUGGGAGCUGGUAACACCCGAAGUCAGUAGUCUAACCGCAAGGAGGACGCUGCCGAAGGUGGGAUUAGCGACUGGGGUGAAGUCGUAACAAGGUACC